GUCUAUGGCCGUGCCACCCUGAAUGUGCCUGAUCAUUACUGAUCUCAGAAGCUAAGCAGGGUUGGGCCUGGUUAGUACUUGGAUGGGAGGGAUUCCACUUAGGAAUACCAGGUACUGUAGGCA
rnacentral:rRNA from 1 species